ensembl:lncRNA
UAAAAGUAGGACAAAGUCGGAAGCUUUAAGUUAUAGUCAUGCCAGGUUGUGGAGUUCUUCCUUGGACUGUCAACUCUUCUUUGUGUGGAAUUAUGUUUUACAAGUUUUUGGAACAACAGAAGAACCCAAUACAGACCUUUAUUAGCCUUUUUUGCUAGGUAUGGGCCAUAGACAGUCUAUGGUAUGAACGCUAGCUAAUGAAGUAGCAUAUUAAGCUAUACGCAUAGCCUGUAUGGAAUGAAUGGGCAGUUGACCACCGCUUACCGAACAAAGCUUACCGAGUGGAGUGAAAACCAGAUAUCGCUCUGAACUGCCAGGUUCCUUUCGCCACUUUGAAGGUGUAGGACAGGACAGGGAGUUUCUGGUGCCACGAGGUUUCCAUGAAAGCCCGGACGUCACCUCCAUGGUCACAAGCUGACAGAUGACUGUAACAUGAUCGACUGGUGUGCGCUGAUACAAGCUAUUUUUAGGCGAAGGUCACAUCUGGAGCAGGCCAGCUCAAAGCUUUUCUCUCCAUUUUUCUUUGAUUCCUUCAAAGUCCCAAAACUGGACGAACACUCCUUGUUUCUAGGUUUCCCAGAGACUAUGGGUUGAGGAGGAAUUGGAAAUCUGUCGGCUUAGACCUGGUGUCAUUCCAUCAAUGUUAAACUUCCCGGCUCAUCUUGGAAGAGUACGUGCCAGAAAGACCACGACCAAGCAGCCUUGAGAUCUUAGGCAGCGUCUCCCUGAGACCAAAGAACUACAGACUCUUCACAACAUGCUCAAACUCUUGGUACAGGACCUCACCACACGGGUCAAGAAGGUUUCCAUCUCAUUUCUACUCUGAAGAUCACCUUCUCCUGCUCAAACUGCUGACAAAUGUUUCUGCUGCUCUAAAGUCUGGUCUCAAGAACUUCCUAAAAACUCUCAAAGUCUCUUCUGCUGCAGGUUGCUUUGUAGAACUGUUGCAGAAAAC